UCCAAACUGUUUGCUAUUCUGAUAGUAUUCUUUGAAAAAAAAUCAAAGAAAAUGCUAAUUUUAGAAAUUCAGCAGAAGACAUUUUAGCAGACGACAAAUUUCCCAGCAUGCAAAGGGUUAAGAAUAUGUAAGCUGCUUGUUUUACUGUUGGGUGUUACUUUAUGACAAGAAUUUUGAAUCAGUAUUUUGAAUUUUAGAUUUGUUCAUUGACUUUGAAUGUUAUCUUAUUUUUAUUUGGUCAUAAUUGGUGCAAAUAUAUUUAUUUUGUGUAUAUGUGUAUGUUUGCAUGAGUUUGCUAAUGGGGUGGGUGAGGUACAGGUUUUGAAAAUAAAAGAAAUGAAUUAUAGUUAGUUGAGAAUAAAUUAUUAUUUUUUAAUUAGGCCUCCUUUGCUAGUAUAUUGUUAAAGAAACAAUCUAAGUACCUUUGAAAGGUAGCAGAAAAGUUGCCCUCGAGUAUCAUAUGUUUAUAAAUAUGCAUUGAGCUUUACUGUAGUUUAUUAAGAUGUUUGACCGGUGUAUACUAUAAUCAAGUGACCAUUAUUGGAGCAUUGCUGUGGGAAAACAGGGCUUAAUGUGUGCACUUUGGCCUCAACUGGAUAUUUGCUAGGAAAACCAUUCCGUUUAGCAAAUGAUACCACAAAAGUAUAUAGAGAAUAACAGGUUGGUGACGUGGAUGGAGAAUGGUUAUCUGGCAAGUUGGAGGAAGUUGAUCCUCCGACGAGCCAGAUAACCAUUCUCCAUCCACGUCACCAACCUAUUAUUCUAUUUAUCCUGUCACAUUAACAACAUUCGUUGAAAUGUUUGUAAAAUACAUAGUUUUCCAGUAUUUUGUGUUUAAAUAUUUAAUAUGGGAAAAAACACCCUGCAGCAAAAACAUUGUGACGUCACGUCAUGCAAAACGCUUAGGCUAGCUUCCGUCUUGUUAAACAACACAGAAAUCGAGUCAAUCGUUUUUAAUUCAAUACACAAAGACGAAAUUAUGCUGUUAAAAUAAUAUUUUUUAAACAAACAGUACUUUACAUGUAUGUUGUAAUUUUUUUAAUUGAAAACAAGUAUAUUUUAUAAAUAGAAAAUAGUACAGGCGUGCGCAUGCGCGGACAGCAACUGACAGAUAUUAGAGGUUAUUAGGUUACCUGGUUAUCGGGCUGAUUUAAAGGCAUGUGACAGGAUAAACUGUAAUCUUUGAAUAGCCUGUGCAGGCUGCAGAGGCUAAUAUGGGACAACACAUAAUGUACACAUUAAUGCAUUCAGCAACUGUCUCCCAGAGCAAGUUUUAAAGUUUUAAAGGGACACUGCAUGAUAUGCAAACUUGUUACAGCUUUUGUUUUUCAUAUUGUUUUGUGUUCGAAAUCACCCAUACAUGUAUUCCAAUUUGCAUUCCAAGAAGCAUGCAUUUCAGGGCUCCAACUGACAAAACAUUUUCUUUUGCCAAAUUAACUGUUGAACACAGUUAUUUUUCACAUUUUAUCAAUUUUAUGGGGGUUUUAUGAUAAAAAAUUUGCAGCCAAAUGGAAAUUUAAUGAGCCAAAUGUUCACAUUUGUAGCCAUUGGCUAAUUUGGAAAAUGACAGAGCAAGCUCUAUAAUUAGGCCACUUGCUUGAAAUUUGAAUUUUAAAUGUGAAUAGGAUUAACUCUGUUUCUGGAAUGGUUUUAAACAAUUAGUAUAAAUCCAGUAUGUUGGUGUCAAGGGUCUUUAAUCCUUUCCCGCUCAUAAGCAAAGUAAAGUGGCUAUGUGCAAACAAUAUAAAACCAGAACAGCCAGCGAGUUACUUGCAGUCUGUUCGGGUUUUAUGCUGUUUGCUGCUCAUCAGUAUCUUAAGGUUGGAAAUUAAGCGUUUAAAACUUGAAUCAAGUAAGAAAGGUCUUUUAUUAAAAACGUUCAAAGGGACCACAAGUAAGUCAAAAUACCUAUCUAUAAGUGGUAAAGGUUAAAUUUCCCCAGUGUAUGUAUAAGUGUUUGAAUGAUUUCAUCACUUAUUAAUUUUAAUAGAAAGAUUCUAUUCCAUUGUAAUGUAUCACUUGGAAGUAGAAGAUAUAUAGGAUCUGGCACAAGUUGUCAUAUCAUACCAUAUUUUAUUAAACGAGUCCAGGAAAUUCGUUAGUGAGCUCACCAAAGGCUCGCUUACUUACAAAAUUCCUGAACUCGUUUAAUAAAAUAUGGUAUGAUAUGACGAGUGUCAGAUCUUUUUUAUCACACGCUUUUAAAUGCGCAAAUUAAAUAAAUAUUUAGGUAAACAUAAUGAUAAAUCCCGAAUGUUGUUUACAUUUCCUGACGUCAUUGUACGUUGCAACGUCAUUUCAGCAAAAUAACAAAAUGCGAUUGGUCAAUAAACAAUAAACAAAAACUAAGACAUUGUAAACGCUUAAAAAGUAUAUAACACAUGUGUAAGAUAAAAAUAUUCGUAAUGGUUAUAUAACAUAGGAAACAGGGUAUGGCAUGUGAUAAAAUAAUAACUCCGCAUAAUUAAGACAAAUAGCUAGCUAAAUGUACUGUGACAUUAAUAUUAUUAGUCGGACACUAAAUGCUUGUGUGUCCUCUAAAGCAUGAAAUCAAAUGUUAAAGGAACAUUGCCUGCAGAAGUUUGUCAGACAUUCAAACUAAAUUAUACAAACAUACAAAAUUACCGUUUACAUACGAACGUAUGUGCCUGAUUUUAGGAAUGGACAAAAUUUAAUGAUAUGACAUUAAAUAAAUCUACAGUAAUUAAAAGAUUAUCUAUAGAUAACAAUCUUAGGACAAAGCAGCAGAUGUUAAAUUACUGGCAUUUUAACUUAUAUUAUAUAUUUAAAUUAAGUGCAGAUAAUCCCAGUUUCAUUUUCAACCAAGACAUGUCAUUUAUUUUCAGUUCAAUACCAUCUGAAAAUGUGUAUAAGCAAACUCAGAUUUUUAAAAACAUAAUGAUAUUAUUUGAACAUAACAAUUAUUUAUAAUGUUCAAACUUUCAUUAAGAUUAAAUAUUUGUAAAAUAAAUUAAAGGGCAUUAACACAUGUUUAUGUAGAUAUUGAAAGAGGCAUAUUAACGUUUUUUUCCCAUUGAAUGUAUAUAAUUUAUAUUAUAUAGACAUCUUUAAAAACAGUGGACGUUUCCUCUCUUUACACACAAACAUGCCAUGAUCUAGGAAAAUGAGGUCUUCAGUUUGCACAGGCUAAUCUGUUUACAUAAGUUUCUGUUUUUGCAAUGAAGAGAUUUCCUUUACAGGAAAAAUACAAUCAAAGUGGAAAGUACUGUCUUCCCUUUUUUGAAUGUGGGGACUGCAUAUAAAAAUAGGACUUAUACGGUUAGCAUCCAUUUAUUUAGGAAAAUAUAAUACCAUAUUAGCCAUCAAAUUAUACCUCUUAUCAAUAUGCCUCUUUAUGUAUUAUUUUAACCUGUAUACAUCCUGCUGGUGCCAUUCCAAUAUUUCAAUAGAGAUGUCUAUGUUCACAUUGUUGCUCCAAUAUCAAGUUACAUGUAUAGAUUAUUUAAUUCGUGAAACUAUACCAGUAUGUUAAUUCGGUUUUGUGGUACAUGAAAUUUGGUAUGUUGUCUUUAUGUACUCAAUUUAUUCCUUAGUAUUUUUUAAACAGCAGAGAAUUAAAUUGAAAAAAGAGCAAAACUUGAGGUAUAUUAUGAAUAAUGUAGCAGUCUUUUCCAAAUGCCCCUUUUUGUGUUCCAGUUAAAACUAUGUAUGAGCCGCCAAAUGUGAUUUGAGUUUUAUGCCAAAUGUGGCCAGCGUAGCUCCAGGCCAGCAAGGACAUCAGUGCAGCCUGAUGAGUAGCUAUCCUGUCCACUGUUAAGUCAUGCAAGGUUUCGUAGUCUCACGGGCGGACAGGUUUGCUCCUGAACAGACUGUGCUGAUGUGCUGGUUUUGAGCUACACUGGCCGCAUAUGGUGUUUGUUGCUUUAUGUUGCUUCUAUAAGAAGUACCACAAAAGCUUCUUUGUUUAAAUAUGAGUCUCAUAUUAUUUCCUGUUCUUAACAGUGUUUUUAAUUAAUUUAUUCUUUAUUUUUCAAAUUCCGCAUUUUGAGUUAUAUAUAUGCAUUUCCUUUUUGUUGAGUUCCUAAUUUUUUAUAGGAUUAACAGUAGUAGAAAGUUGCCAUAAGAUGCUUAUCUUCUAUUAAAAUUCUGAAAAUAUGAUAAAAAUAAGUAUAAUUUAAGAUUAAAUGUAUCGUUGCACUUGUAUUCAUAUUUUUACUGCCAAAUAUUAACUAUGUGUGCUUGUGCUGCAUUGGUUUUUAUGUCCCCCACUAUAGUAGUGGGGGACAUAUAGUUAUUGCCCUGUCUGUUGGUUGGUCUGUUGGUUGGUUGGUUUGCGCCAACUUUGACAUUUUGCAAUAACUUUUGCUAUAUUGAAUAUAGCAAAUUGAUAUUUGGCAUGCAUGUGUAUCUCAUGGAGCUGCACAUUUUGAGUGGUGAAAGGUCAAGGUCAUCCUUCAAGGUCAGAGGUCAAAUAUAUGUGGCCCAAAGCACUUAUUUUAUGAAUACUUUUGAAAUAUUGAAGAUAGCAACUUGAUAUUUGGCAUGCAUGUGUAUCUCACGGAGCUGCACAAUUUGAAUGGUGAAAGGUCAAGGUCAUCCUUCAAGGUCAGAGGUCAAAUAUAUGUGGCCCAAAUCGCUUAUUUUAUGAAUACUUUUGCAAUAUUGAAGAUAGCAACUUGAUAUUUGGCAUGCAUGUGUAUCUCAUGGAGCUGCACAUUUGAGUGGUGAAAGGUCAAGGUCAUCCUUCAAGGUCAAAUAUAUGGGUCAAAAUUGCUCAUGUAAUGUCACUUCUUCAAUAUUGAAGCUAGCAAUUUUAUAUUUGAAAUGCAUGUGUAUCUCAUGGAGCUGCACAUUUUGAGUGGUGAAGGGUCAAGGUCAUCCUUCAAGGUCAAACGUCAUAUAGGGGGACAUUGUGUUUCACAGACGCAUCUUGUUGUUGUUGUUUUUGUAUAUGUUCAUUUACAGUAUUGUUUUUUGAUGUCCCUUAAUUUGAUAUAAUUAUUUUUGUUUGUGUGGAAAGUCAUGUGCUUAUUGGGAAUAUUUAAGUCUGAUGAAUAGGUCCAUAGUGAUCAAACAUUCUUAGACUUACCGUAAGAAUCAAGAAUAGACUUAGAUCCAAAACAAACAAACUUUCCAGAUUGCAUUCAUACAGAUAAAACAGCCAACCAAUUGUGUUAAUCUCAUCAACAAAGUUUUUGAAAUAAAGCUGCAAUGAUCUAAUAUGAGGUGCUCAAUCAAAAAUUCAGACUGAGCAAUAUAGCAUUCACUGUAUGAAAACUAUUCUGUAUAUGGGCCAGUUAUUGGGUGUUGUUUUAUAGGAGAGUUAAUUCAUGUUCUUGUCAAGUACAUAUAAAAUACUUAUUCACACUGAUGACAAGACCAGUGUAGCCUGUAUUUGAGACUCGUUCUGGGAAAACUGGACUUAAAGCAAGUGCUUAAAGUGUCGUCCCUGAUUAGACAGUGUUGGCCACAUAGGCUAAUUUGGGAUUACACUCUCUGCCUAUAUUGAUUUUCCCUAAGAAAUGACUUUUUAUGAAAAUUGCCAUUAAAGUGUGAAGAAUAUUUCUGUGCAGACUUUACAGUCUUAUCUGGGAUGACACUAUACGCACAUGCAUUAAGCCCAGUUUUUCUCAAAACGUGGCAUAUUUAAAAUAAUGUUGUUUUCAGUGUUAUUUUUAUGAUAGUUUAAUGUCUUUUUGAUAGAAAUUUAAUUGAUUCACACACACAUACAUCUUUACUCAAACAUUUUCACUGCAUAAAAACUAAUUUUACAUUUGUUGAAGUCAGUUUUUAGGUACUGUAAGUACUGCCUUUAAUUAGUUGCAGUCUCAAUAAUGAAUUUUGUUACAUAGUUGUGAUAUUAUAUUUUUAUGUUCAUGCUCUUUUCAGAACUAUAAGUAAUAUUACAUAAUUUAUUGUGUACAUUAUGUAUUUAAUACUCAUAUUAUUUAACUUUGGAGGUGUAUUGGUGAUGCAUGCAUGUUAAAUGACCUGAUAACAGCAGUUUUCUUUAUUAUCAAAUGAAUACUAAUGUUGUCACAUAAAAUUUGAUAGGAACACUGCUAUUUUCUGUAUAAUUAAUUAAUGCUGUGAAGCCAAGCCAGGUAGCAAGCAAGCAUUGAAAAGAAGCAAACCAUGUGAACAAAUACAUGUUUCAUACUUUCACAUGCUCAACGCUUGUUACAUACCAGUAGUAGUUAUAUAAAUGUUUUUAGAAAUGAGCCGUGCUCUGUGAAAAAGGGGGUUUAAUGCAUGUUCGUAAAUUGUCGCCCCAGAUAAGCCUGUGCAGGCUGCACAGGGACAACACUUUCUGCUUAAACUUGAUUUUUGCUUAGACGAGACUGACUUGAAACAAAACAUGUCAUCAGAGUGGAAUGUGUUGUCCCUGAUAACCACAGGCUCAUCUGAGAGGACACGUGCAUUAAACCCAUAUUUCACUGAGCACAGCACAUAUUAUUUCCUGUGUAUUAACGGAUUCAGAUUGAAAUAAAGUGAUUGUAAACAAGUA